AUUCCACAGAUUUCACACUUGCAGAAAACUCCUGAAAGUGUGGAGAGAUCAGUCGGUGUCUGGGUAGUCUGAUGCCAACUCAUGGAAAAUAAAUGAGAAAACAAAAAGAUUGUGACAUCAGUCGACUUUGGAAAGGCCCUCAUAUGAUGAAAUGAAAAGCAAAAGAAAGCGUCAGGAUUCAACAGUGGGACCUGCAUUAUCCAUCCAUCUAUUAUCUGUACCGCAGCCCAGCUGUGAUUGACUGGAGACCAUUACAGGGUGUACCCCGCCUCCCCGCCUCUCGCCCAAUGACAGCUGUUAUCUAUUGAUAAUAGAGACUGACAACCAGUCACACUCACAUCCACACCUACGGCCAUUCAGUCAACAAUUAACCUAACGAGCAUGUCUUUGGACUGUGGGAGGAAGGUUGCAUGGGACUGGAGUCGAUCCAGCUGCAAUUAGGCGAGAGGCGAGGUAAACCCUGGGCUGGUCGACAGUCAAUAACAGCGCUGACAGAUAGAGAGAGACAACCAGCACACCAGGAUAUCAGUCAACAAUUAACGAGCAUGUCUUUGGACUGUGGGAGGAAGGGAGUAGCAGAGAGAGCACGGGGAGACCAUGCAAACUCCACAC